rnacentral:rRNA from 1 species
AAUAGAUACCCCGGUAGUCCACGCCGUAAACGAUGAGUGCUAAGUGUUAGGGGGUUUCCGCCCCUUAGUGCUGCAGCUAACGCAUUAAGCACUCCGCCUGGGGAGUACGGUCGCAAGACUGAAACUCAAAGGAAUUGACGGGGGCCCGCACAAGCGGUGGAGCAUGUGGUUUAAUUCGAAGCAACGCGAAGAACCUUACCAGGUCUUGACAUCCCAUUGACCACUAUGGAGACAUAGUUUUCCCUUCGGGGACAACGGUGACAGGUGGUGCAUGGUUGUCGUCAGCUCGUGUCGUGAGAUGUUGGGUUAAGUCCCGCAACGAGCGCAACCCUUGUUCUUAGUUGCCAUCAUUUAGUUGGGCACUCUAAGGAGACUGCCGGUGACAAACCGGAGGAAGGUGGGGAUGACGUCAAAUCAUCAUGCCCCUUAUGACCUGGGCUACACACGUGCUACAAUGGACGGUACAAACGGUUGCCAACCCGCGAGGGGAGCUAAUCCGAUAAACCGUUCUCAGUUCGGAUUGUAGGCUGCAACUCGCCUACA